GGGGCGGUGGGGGUGCUAUACAUGCAGUCGAGCGAGCAGAACCAGCAGAUUUACUUCGGUAAUGACGCUGGGGACGCGAGCGGCGGAUGGGUGAGUAACACGUGGGGAACCUGCCCCAUAGUCUGGGAUACCACUUGGAAACAGGUGCUAAUACCGGAUAAGAAAGCAGAUCGCAUGAUCAGCUUAUAAAAGGCGGCGUAAGCUGUCGCUAUGGGAUGGCCCCGCGGUGCAUUAGCUAGUUGGUAAGGUAACGGCUUACCAAGGCGAUGAUGCAUAGCCGAGUUGAGAGACUGAUCGGCCACAUUGGGACUGAGACACGGCCCAAACUCCUACGGGAGGCAGCAGUAGGGAAUCUUCCACAAUGGACGCAAGUCUGAUGGAGCAACGCCGCGUGAGUGAAGAAGGUUUUCGGAUCGUAAAGCUCUGUUGUUGGUGAAGAAGGAUAGAGGUAGUAACUGGCCUUUAUUUGACGGUAAUCAACCAGAAAGUCACGGCUAACUACGUGCCAGCAGCCGCGGUAAUACGUAGGUGGCAAGCGUUGUCCGGAUUUAUUGGGCGUAAAGCGAGCGCAGGCGGAAGAAUAAGUCUGAUGUGAAAGCCCUCGGCUUAACCGAGGAACUGCAUCGGAAACUGUUUUUCUUGAGUGCAGAAGAGGAGAGUGGAACUCCAUGUGUAGCGGUGGAAUGCGUAGAUAUAUGGAAGAACACCAGUGGCGAAGGCGGCUCUCUGGUCUGCAACUGACGCUGAGGCUCGAAAGCAUGGGUAGCGAACAGGAUUAGAUACCCUGGUAGUCCAUGCCGUAAACGAUGAGUGCUAAGUGUUGGGAGGUUUCCGCCUCUCAGUGCUGCAGCUAACGCAUUAAGCACUCCGCCUGGGGGAGUACGACCGCAAGGUUGAAACUCAAAGGAAUUGACGGGGGCCCGCACAAGCGGUGGAGCAUGUGGUUUAAUUCGAAGCAACGCGAAGACCUUACCAGGUCU
rnacentral:rRNA from 1 species